AUCUCCCUAGUAUUAACAAGUACAGCUGACUUCCAAUCAGCUAGUUCUGGUAAAAUCCAGAGGGAAAUA
rnacentral:tRNA from 1 species